rnacentral:lncRNA from 1 species
GGGGAAUAGCUUCCCAGAGCCUGUAACAGGAUCACUUUUAUGCCGAGAUGGGUGACCUGUGACACAAGGACACUUGACAACACUACUGAAGUGAUGCACCUCAGCUGCUGCAACUGGCCUCUGUCAUCAAAUAGGAUUUUCUGCCUAUUGGAUCAUUGCUAAAUCAGUCUCCAUAUACUCGAAGUGUUUGUCUAUCAGAGAUGUAGUUAAGGAAACACUUAGAAUGUACUGAAAUAAACAGGAAUUCUAGCAUUUAUGUCA